CGGGGCCGCAGAUGCCCCGCGGCCUUCCGCCAAGACGGUGUCCCGUCCAAUUCUGC
rnacentral:ncRNA from 1 species